rnacentral:rRNA from 1 species
UACGGAGGUGGCAAGCGUUGCUCGGAUUUACUGGGUGUAAAGGGCACGUAGGCGGCCCUGUAAGCCCUGCCUGAAACGCUCUGGCUCAACCAGAGCAUGCGGUAGGGGACUGCAAGGCUUGAGGAUGAGAGAGGCGAGCGGAAUUCCCGGUGUAAGGGUGAAAUCUGUAAAGAUCGGGAGGAACACCAGUGGCGAAGGCGGCUCGCUGGCUCAUUUCUGACGCUGAGGUGCGAAAGCUAGGGGAGCGAACAGG